AGGAUGAACGCUAGCGGGAGGCCUAAUACAUGCAAGUCGAACGGCAACAUGAUGAUAGCAAUAUUAUCGAUGGCGAGUGGCGCACGGGCGAGUAACACGUACAUAACCUACCCUUUACUGGGGGAUAGCCUUGGGAAACUAGGAGUAAACCCCCAUAGAGUACAUUGGACGCAUGUUUGAUGUAAUAAAUUCUUCGGGAGGUAAAGGAUGGAUGUGCGGCUGAUUAGCUAGUUGGUGAGGUAACGGCUCACCAAGGCAAUGAUCAGGUAGGGGGUGUGAGAGCAUGACUCCCCCAGACGGUACUGAGACACCGGACCCGACUCCGACGGGAGGCAGCAGUAAGGAUAGUGGACAAGUGGCGGAGACGCUAGAUCCAGCCUUAGCCCGG
rnacentral:rRNA from 1 species